rnacentral:rRNA from 1 species
AUAUCAAUAAGCGGAGGAAAAGAAACUAACAAGGAUUCCCCUAGUAACGGCGAGUGAAGCGGGAAGAGCUCAAAUUUGAAAUCUGGCGGUCUCAGGCCGUCCGAGUUGUAGUCUGGAGAAGCGUUUUCCGCGUCGGACCGUGUAUAAGUCUCUUGGAACAGGGCGUCAUAGAGGGUGAGAAUCCCGUCUCUGACACGGACUACCGAUGCUUUGUGAUGCGCUCUCGAAGAGUCGAGUUGUUUGGGAAUGCAGCUCAAAACGGGUGGUAAAUUCCAUCUAAAGCUAAAUAUUGGCGAAAGACCGAUAGCGAACAAGUACCGUGAGGGAAAGAUGAAAAGCACUUUGGAAAGAGAGUGAAACAGUAC